AUGCUUGGCACAUGGAGUACAGUUUUAAAAGGUUCAGCCUUGAGUUGGUGGAGGGCGGCCAAGUGUACAGUCCAUGAUUGGAAAUCAUUUAAAGAAGCUUUCAAGGCAGCCUUUCUUCCUGCAGAUUACAUGAGUGAAGUGGAGGAAAAUUUGAGAAUGAUGGUGCAGCAACCUGGACAAAAGCUCAGAGACUUUGCAUAUGAUUAUAGGGCUUUGUGCAUAAAAUGGAAACCAGAGUUGAGUGAGGAAGAGCUUGUAAACAAGAUCCUCAAUAACAUCAACCCUAAAAUAGCAGGUUCCCUGAGGGGCACUGUACAUUCGGUGGAACAACUCGUUAAGAUUGGAUCCAUGGUGGAAAAAGAUUGUAUGAACAUAAAAGAUUACUGGCAAAAAGUCAAUGACCAAGCGGGUAAAGACAAGAUGAAUAAAAGAGGCUCUGACAAACCAGUUGUACCAACUGUGUCAGCAGGACUAUCGGUGAUUCAACGACCACACCAUCGGAAUCAAAUUAAUCCAGCAUCGCUUUUGGUGGUCCCUAUCAUACUGGAUGGAUGGCAAGUUGAUGCUGUGGUGGAUACAGGAAGUGCUUUUACCCUGAUGCAAGAGAGCCGAUGGAAAGAAAUUGCAGGUAUGCAUGAUGAAAUUCAGAAUGUGAAGCAGAACUUUGUGAUGGCUGAUGGCAAGCUGCAUCAAUCGAAGGGACAAGUAGAGCUGAAGUAUGAUUGGCACCAAGAAAGGGGGAAGGUGAAGGUGUAUAUAAUGGAAGACUCCCACCUGGUCUUUCCCGUUGUUUUGGGAUUAGACUUUUUAACUCGUGUGGGUGCCACCUUUGAUUUCUCCCAACUCUGUUACAAACUACCCUCUAAAAAAGAUGACUCUGGUUAUCCUUUUAUCUGUAGCCAGCAACCAUCUUUUGUACAAAGAUCAGGACAUCAAAUGAUGGGCUCCCGUCCCCAGAGCAAUCUUAGCUUGUAUUACCCUAUAACUGAGGAACAAGGUUUUUCCUUUUUAAGAACCAGACAGGAUGAGCCAGGAAUGGUUGGGGGAGAUCUGUUCCCUUCCGAAGUGCAGUAG
ensembl:lncRNA